GUCUGUGUGUGUGUGUGUGCGUGUCUGUGUGUGUGUGUGCGCGUGUCUGUCUGUGUGUGUGUGUGUCUGUGUGUGCGUGCAUGCAUGCCACUGGCGCUUUCUGUGCACCUGCCACAUGGGUUUCCCUUGCUCUUUCUACCCCUCUCCAAUCCCCUGCCCCGACACUUCUCAUUGUUGCCCCUCCGAUCCCUGCUCCCCUGGCUCUCCGGCUCCCUUUAUGGGCUGGUCCUCCCAGGACAGACAGAUGUUUGACACCAUCUCCCUGCUGAUCCAGGGCUCCCUGGACGGGGAGCUGAAGCUGAUGGACGAGCUGGCAGGCCCAGGGGGCCAGCCCUCUGCCUUCCCUUCCACCCCCAGCCCGGGCGGAUCCGACCCACAGAUCCCUCUAGCUGAGAUGGAGGCUCUGUCUCUGACGUCAGAGAUUGUGUCUGAACCGUCCUGCUCUCUAGCUCUGACGGAUGACUCUUUGCCUGAUGACACUCACACACUCUUACUUAGUGCCCUGGAGAGCAAUGUACAUGCACACAUCCCUUGCUGCUCCCCCCAGCCUGGGCUAGGCUGGCUGCAGGGUUCCAGAUGCACUUUCCCUCUGUGCCCAGGUCCUGCUCUGAGGCAUUCAUUCACCUGUGGGCACAAGGUGCCCCAGGAUUUGCUGUCACCGCGUGAAUUCUUCCUUGAAUUAGAUAAGAUAAAGCCAAGGCCCUGUUCGGAGGGUUACAGGGACAUCAUUGGUGACGGGGUUAUUCCAGGAAUGACAGCCCCAAACAGAAGUGGCUUGGGAGCCGGCUUCUGUGUUUGGAGCCCUGUGCCAGCCAGCCCUCCCUCCCUGCCCCCCUCCUCUCGCCUCUCCCUCACAAGACUCAUGUCGUCCUGGGUGAGAGUCACAUCUUUGCUGCUACCACCAUGCCCUUCCCCUCUGGGGGACUGCUCCCGUCUCCUCUCUCUGUCCCUGUGUGUCCUUGUGCUCUGUCCUCAACAAGCUCUGGGGGUUUCUUGGUAUUUUGACCUUUCUACUCUUCCUCAGUUUCCCUCUGUCCCUCUGACAGUGAGCAGCCCCCUUGUCUUAUCAUUUGCCUUCUGUUGUGUGAGCAGGGCCAGCUGAAGCAGGAUCUUGAUCAAAGGCUGGGAGGGUCUCUAGAGGUUGCGGCUGGCUGGAAGCAGCGGGUCCUGGGAUUGAGCAUAGAAGGGAAAGACUCAGAUUAUACUCAGCACGGCCAUCUUCCACUUGCUGGGACUGAAACCAGCCGAGCCCGUGUGGGAGAAGAGCCUCCCUGCGAACUGGGAAUCGGUGGUCCAGGAAAAGGGAUUUAAAGGGGGACAGAAACUCUUUCUAGCUGGCCUUGGCUUCCUAUUCCCCCCAGGGCUGAUCGCUGCCUCUCUUUGAAACAGGUUUCCCAAACCCACUCCCACCUCAAGUCUGUGCACUGAGGGGGUACUGAGUCCCCAGUGCUCAGGCCUUGCUACCCACCUCCACCCUCCUGAGUCUCUGUGUGGUGAAAGAACGGGAGACCAGGCUGGGACACGCCCCUUGUGCUCACCUGCUAUUUAACCUGCAUGAGUCUCGCUCAGGCCUGCCCCCUGUUGAUCCCUGGGGUAACGUUCAGAUUCUCUAAGAGGACCACACUCAGUGCUGGGGGCUGCUCUCUCUUCUCUCGUCCCUCCUAGUCCUCCAACACCCCCAGCCCAGAGGCACACAGGUGAUCCUGUGGGUAUGCUCUCAGGGUGGGGCCUCUCCAAUCCUUCUUCCCUGUAUGUAGAAACUCCUCGUAUGUCUUCCCAUCUCCUACCAUGCUCAUGCCUACCACCUUGGCCUAGGAGGGUGCGGAGGGGGGUGUGGGUAGGUGGGGGGAGGACUGUGGGUCUGUGGGCUUAGUUCUUGCUGUCUAGCUUUCCCUCAGUCAUCAAAGCCAACUGCAUGCUCUUCACUCCGUCCCCCAAUCCUUUUGCAGAUGGUACCCCAUCCUGCGGAGGUGCCAGUCCCCCUGGGACCAGACCUGCUGACCGUGAGGAAGUUCUGGCGUCAGCCGGACACACUCUCUGCCCAAUGACAGCUACAUGUGCCGCAAUGGGAGCACUGCUGAGAGAUCCCUAGGAAACAGGGGCUGGGGGCUCCCCAAAGCCCAGUCAGGCUCCAUCUUGUCUGUUCACUCCCAACCAGCAGACACCAGCUGCAUCCUACAGCUUCCCAAAGAUGCACCCUAUCUGCUCCAACCUCAUGGAGCUCCCAUCUGGGGUGCCAUCCCUAAACUACCCCCACCAGGACGCUCCCCUCUGGCUCAGAGGCCACUCAGGCGCCAGGCAGCAAUAAGGACUGACUCCCUGGAUGUGCAGGGCCUGGGUAGCCGGGAAGACCUGUUGUCAGAGGUGAGUGGGCCCUCCUGCCCUCUGACCCGAUCCUCAUCCUUCUGGGGCGGGUCGAGCAUAGAGGUGCAGCGGCGCUCCCGCAGCCAGUGCAAGGUCUCCAAGCACAUCCGCCCGCCAGCCGCUUGCCCAGGCCUGGAACCCGGCUGGGCCAAGGACCCUCAAGAGACCAGAAGCAGCUUAGAGUUGGACACGGAGCUGAGCUGGCUUUCAGGAGACCUCCUGCCCAGUAACCAGGAGGAACCCCUGUCCCCACGGGACCUGAAGAAGUGCUACAGUGUAGAGGCGCAGAGCUGCCGGCGCAGGCCUGGGUCCUGGCUAGAUGAACAAAGGAGACACUCCAUUGCGGUCAGCUGCCUGGACAGUGGCUCCCAACCCCGCCUAUGUCCAAGUCCCUCAAGCCUGGGGGGCCAACCUCUUGGGGGCGCUGGGAGUCGGCCUAAGAAAAAACUCAGCCCACCCAGUAUCUCUAUAGAUCCCCCGGAGAGCCAGGGCCCUCGGCCCCCGUGCAGUCCUGGUGUCUGCCUCAGGAGGAGGGCGCCAUCCAGUGACUCCAAGGAUCCCUCGGCCUCCGGCCCCCUUGACAGCACGGCUGCCUCACCCUCCCCAAAGAAAGACGCGCUGAGUCUCUCUGGUUUGUCCUCUGACCCAACAGACCUGGACCCCUGAGUCCCGCCCACUCUCCCGCUCACCUUUCUCUACUGGGUGCAGAUCCUUGCUCCGCCUCCUGGGCAGUCUUUCCGACAAGUCCCGAGUACACAGGUACACAGCAAGGCGCUGCUCCUGCCUUCUUUAGGCUGGGGGAUCACAAGCAGGACUUCCGGAGAGUCUGAAGAGAGCACAGCCCUGGCACCACCGCCUCCAGGAAGAAAGAGAGGGAGAAGCCCAGUGUGGCCGAGGCCGAGGCUCCCGACACCAGGAGCUGUUGGGAGAAAGCAAUACGUUUGUGCAGAAUCUCUAUGUAUAUUCUAUUUUAUUAAAUUAAUUGAAUCUAGUA